rnacentral:rRNA from 1 species
UACGUAGGGGGCGAGCGUUGUCCGGAAUCAUUGGGCGUAAAGAGCUCGUAGGCGGUUCAGUAAGUUAGGUGUGAAAGCUCCGAGCUCAACUCGGAGAGGCCACCUGAUACUGCUGUGACUAGAAUCCAGUAGGGGAGUGUGGAACUCCUGGUGUAGCGGUGAAAUGCGCAGAUAUCAGGAAGAACACCAGCGGCGAAGGCGGCACUCUGGGCUGGAAUUGACGCUGAGGAGCGAAAGUGUGGGUAGCAAACAGG